UGAAUACGAGAUGCUACGGCAUCGAAGCAGUCUAUGUCAUACUUCCAAGAAAAGCUUGCACUGUCAUAAACAAAUAAUGCCUGUACCAUAACCGACACAGGUGGGUAGGUAGAGUAUACUAAGGGGCGCGAGAUAACUCUCUCUAAGGAACUCGGCAAAAUGACUCCGUAACUUCGGGAGAAGGAGUGCCUUAUUUUAUAAGGUUGCAAUAACAAGAUCCAAGCAACUGUUUACCGAAAACACAGGUCUCCGCUAAGUCGUAAGACGAUGUAUGGGGGCUGACGCCUGCCCAGUGCCAGAAGGUUAAAGAAGUUGGUUAGCAUUAGCGAAGCUGAUAACUGAAGCCCUGGUGAACGGCGGCCGUAACUAUAACGGUCCUAAGGUAGCGAAAUUCCUUGUCGGGUAAGUUCCGACCCGCACGAAAGGCGUAAUGAUUUGGAUACUGUCUCGGAGAGGGGCUCGGUGAAAUAGACUUGUCUGUGAAGAUGCGGACUACCUGCACCAGGACAGAAAGACCCUAUGAAGCUUUACUGUAACUUGAGAUUGAAAUUGGACUUUAUUUGCGCAGUAUAGGUGGGAGACGUUGAAAAUAUUCUUGCGGGAAUAUUGGAGUCAUCAGUGAGAUACCACUCUUAUAAUGUUAGAUUUCUAACUUUGUAUCAUUAUCUGGUCAAAGAACAGUCUCAGGCGGGCAGUUUGACUGGGGCGGUCGCCUCCCAAACGGUAACGGAGGCGCACAAAGGUUUCCUCUGAACGUGUAGAAAUCGUAUCUAGAGUGUAAAGGCAUAAGGAAGCUUGACUGUGAGACCUACAAGUCGAGCAGGGACGAAAGUCGGUCUUAGUGAUCUGACGGUGCUGAGUGGAAAGGCCGUCACUCAACGGAUAAAAGUUACUCUAAGGAUAACAGGCUGAUCUCCCCCAAGAGUUCACAUCGACGGGGAGGUUUGGCACCUCGAUGUCGGCUCAUCGCAUCCUGGGGCGGUAGUACGUCCCAAGGGUUGGGCUGUUCGCCCAUGAAAGCGGUACGCGAGCUGGGUUCAGAACGUCGUGAGACAGUUCGGUCCAUAUCCGGUGUAGGCGUUAGAAUAUUGAGAGGAGCCUUCUUUAGUACGAGAGGACCGAGAAGGACAUACCUCUGGUGUACCAGUUAUCGUGCCAACGGUAAACGCUGGGUAGCUAUGUAUGGAGAGGAUAACCGCUGAAAGCAUCUAAGUGGGAAGCCCACCUCAAGAUAAGUAUCC
rnacentral:rRNA from 1 species